rnacentral:rRNA from 1 species
AUUAACCCCCACACGGAUACUGAGACACGGAUCCGACUCUUACGGGAGGCAGCAGUAAGGAAUAUUGGACAAUGCCCGCAAGGGUGAUCCAGCCAUGCCGCGUGCAGGAAGACGGCCCUAUGGGUUGUAAACUGCUUUUACACCGGAGAAAACCCCCCUACGUGUAGGGGGCUGAUAGUAUGGUGAGAAUAAGCAUCGGCUAACUUCGUGCCAGCAGCCGCGGUAAGACGAAGGAUGCAAGCGUUAUCCGGAUUCAUUGGGUUUAAAGGGAGCGUAGGUGGCCUUAUAAGUCAGUGGUGAAAUCUCCUCGCUUAACGAGGAAAUUGCCAUUGAUACUGUAGGGCUUGAGUACAGUUGCUGUGGGCGGAAUAUGACAUGUAGUGGUGAAAUACAUAGAGAUGUCAUAGAACACCGAUUGCGAAGGCAGCUCACAAAACUGUAACUGACACUGAGGCUCGAAAGUGCGGGGAUCAAACAGGAUUAGAUACCCUGGUAGUCCGCACUGUAAACGAUGAUUACUCGCUGCUGGGAGGUAACUUUCAGUGGCUUAGCGAAAGCGAUAAGUAAUCCA